rnacentral:rRNA from 1 species
CAAGUCGAACGGCAGCACGGGAGCAAUCCUGGUGGCGAGUGGCGAACGGGUGAGUAAUACAUCGGAACGUGUCCUGUAGUGGGGGAUAGCCCGGCGAAAGCCGGAUUAAUACCGCAUACGCUCUACGGAGGAAAGGGGGGGAUCUUAGGACCUCCCGCUACAGGGGCGGCCGAUGGCAGAUUAGCUAGUUGGUGGGGUAAAGGCCUACCAAGGCGACGAUCUGUAGCUGAUCUGAGAGGACGACCAGCCACACUGGGACUGAGACACGGCCCAGACUCCUACGGGAGGCAGCAGUGGGGAAUUUUGGACAAUGGGCGAAAGCCUGAUCCAGCAAUGCCGCGUGUGUGAAGAAGGCCUUCGGGUUGUAAAGCACUUUUGUCCGGAAAGAAAACCUCCGCCCUAAUAUGGUGGGGGGAUGACGGUACCGGAAGAAUAAGCACCGGCUAACUACGUGCCAGCAGCCGCGGU